rnacentral:rRNA from 1 species
CGGGGGGAGCAAGCGUUGUUCGGAUUUACUGGGCGUAAAGGGCGCGUAGGCGGCCACCGCAAGUCAAUUGUGAAAUCUCCGGGCUUAACUCGGAAAGGUCAACUGAUACUGCGGGGCUAGAGUGCGGUAGGGGCAACUGGAAUUCUCGGUGUAGCGGUGAAAUGCGUAGAUAUCGAGAGGAACACCUGCGGCGAAGGCGGGUUGCUGGGCCGACACUGACGCUGAGGCGCGAAAGCCAGGGGAGCGAACGGGAUUAGAUACCCCGGUAGUCCUGGCCUUAAACGAUGAAUGCUUGGUGUCUGGGGUUAUAAAGUCCCCGGGUGCCGUCGCUAACGCUUUAAGCAUUCCGCCUGGGGAGUACGGUCGCAAGACUG